rnacentral:rRNA from 1 species
AGUCACUGACAUUAGAUACCCCUGUAGUCCAGGGUGUAAACGCUGCAGACUUGGUGUUUGGAAAUCCUUCGAGGGUAUUCAGUGCCGGAGAGAAGUUGUUAAGUCUGCUACUUGGGAGUACGUCCGCAAGGAUGAAACUUAAAGGAAUUGGCGGGGAGCACCACAACGGGUGGAGCCUGCGGUUUAAUUGGACUCAACGCCGGAAAUCUCACCGGAUAGGACAGACAUAUGAUAGUCGGGCUGAAGACUCUACUUGAUGAUCUG